AUACGUAGGUGGCGAGCGUUGUCCGGAAUUACUGGGUGUAAAGGGCGUGUAGGCGGGGGUGCAAGUCAGAUGUGAAAUACUAAGGCUUAACCUUGGGGCUGCAUCUGAAACUGUGUUUCUUGAGUGUCGGAGAGGAAAGCGGAAUUCCCAGUGUAGCGGUGAAAUGCGUAGAGAUUGGGAGGAACACCAGUGGCGAAGGCGGCUUUCUGGACGACAACUGACGCUGAGGCGCGAAAGCGUGGGGAGCAAACAGGAUUAGAUACCCUGGUAGUCCACGCCGUAAACGAUGGAUACUAGGUGCAGGAGGUAUCGACCCCUUCGGUGCCGGAGUUAACACAAUAAGUAUCCCACCUGGGGAGUACGGCCGCAAGGUUGAA
rnacentral:rRNA from 1 species